rnacentral:lncRNA from 1 species
AAAUUCUAUCACUUGAGCUUUUGCAAUGGCGUCGUUGCUAUUUGGUUCAGUACCAAUGGCUACUCAAUCCACGUCAGCUCUAUCUCCUAAUUUAUCCUUCUCUCGUUCUCAAUCUGUCUCCGGCAGCAUAUCAUUUUCCGCAGCAACACCUUCAGCAUCAGUUUCGUGUUCGUCUCUCACCAGUAUGUAUCUCAUAUCCCUCAAUUUUUACCUUUGAAAUUCAUAUUUGAAAAAUUGUUAUGUUUUUCUUUACUGUCGUUUUUUCUUUCUGUUAGUACUAUUUUAAUUUGUUUUAUUUGAAUCGAGGAUCUUUCAUAAACGGCCUCUCUACCUUUUUAAGGUGGGAUAAAGUUCGGUGCUCUUUAGCUUUUAUGAAAUUUCAUUGGAUAUAUUUUUUGUUGAAUUUUCUUCUUAAAAAUUAUGGUUGAAUUUAUGUUUGUGAAGUUAUCAUUUCUUUUAACCUUUGUUUUUUCUUUUUGUUACUACUUAAAUUUGCUUUCUUUGAGCCAAAACUCUUUCAGAAACGGCCUCUCUACUCUCAAAUUCAUGUUUGUGAAGUUGUUACAUAUUUUAUUCACUAUCGUUUUUUCUUUCCAUUACUACUUUAAUUUGCUUUAUUUGAAGAGAUAGAAACGGAUAGGAGUAAAGUCUGCAUACAGUCUACCGUCCCCAAAUCUUCUGUGGAAUUUGAUUGGAUAUGUUAAUUGUUGAAUAACAUUUUUGUGAAUCAGUUUACUGCGGCAGAGGGGAUAAGAAGACUGCUAAAGGGAAAAGGUUCAAUCACUCUUUUGGCAAUGUGAGAGUUUCUUCUUUCAUUCUUAGCAUUUUUAUUUUUUUUUGUUUAUUGUAGGGUAACACCCUUGAAAUAUGAUUUAAUUUCGGAUACACCCGUUAUAUUUUAUAAGUAAACACUUACCAUCAUUACGAGUUACUUUCUCUGCUCCAUAUUAGUUGUCCACCUUACUGUAAAUAAUUGUCCCAAACAUGUUCCCCAUUUCAUCGUUAUAAUUAAUUCUUAUUGAAGUGUAAACAGGUUAUUUAUAAAGUCCUAAUAAAGUACCCAAAGGGUAAAUUAGUAAAAUUGCAAUUCUUAUGAGUGAUUUCUUAAGGUGAGUGUACAGGGGAAAGUGGACAGCUAAUACGGGACGGAGAAAGUAAAUUUAUCAUGCUCGGUUUAUUGAAGAUGAGAUUCAUUCGAACUUGCAUCAUGCAAAGAUGGGAACUGUAGUUAUGGUUAAUGCCGGGAAGAACCUAAAUGCUUCUCAGUUCUAUAUCACAUUGCGCGAUAAUAUUGAAUCACACCGUUUUUGGAGUGAUUGUGGAAGGGCUUGAUACAUUGAAUAGGAUAAAUGAAGCUUAUGCGGACAAGAAUGGCAGGCCAUUUAAGGAUUUCCGAAUCAAACACACUUGCAUAUUGGAUGAUCCUUUCACUGAUCCUCCCAAAUAAAGGGACUUGAUUCCAGAUGCUUCACCCGAAGGAAAACCAAAAGAUGAAGUUGAAGAUGAUGUGCGACUAGAAGAUGAUUGUGUGCCAAUAGAUGAGCAGCUAGGUGUACAAGAACUUGAGGAGUUUCUACGUGCAAAAGAAGCACAUUCCCGAGCAGUAGUUGUUGAAAGUGUAGGGGCCAUUCCGUAUUCUGAGAUAAAGCCUUCGGACAAUGAGUUGUUUGUGUGUGAAUUGAAUCCAAUCACUCAAGAAGAAGCCUGUGUACAAUCUUCUCACGCUAUGAAACUGUGACAUCUGUUAAAUUAGUUAGGAACUACGAGACUAGGAACAGCCUUGGCUAUGCUUUCAUUGACUUUGAAGACAAAAAGGCAUGUGAACAAGCAUAUCGUAAGAUGAAUAAUACUCUAAUUGAUGAUAGAAGGAUUCACGUUGAUUUCAGUCAGAGUGUUGCAAAGUUGUGGUCCAUAUACCGAAUCACAGGCCAAAUGGAUACAGGAAAAGGUUACGGAACUGCUGCUGAAAGUCCAAAAAGAAAUAAGAGAAGAAGAGAUUUUGGAGAUGGAAAAUAUUAUGAGGAUCCGAAUCCUAAACAUAGGGAAUUGGAUGAUGAUGGAGUCCGGAAGAUUCAGAAAAGAGAUGGAUAUGAACGUCAUAGGCAGGAGGAGAGAAGUAAACAUCACAAAACUGGACAUUGCGGUAGUGGGGCGAGCGCUAGUCGUGAGAAUGAGAGAUAUCAUAGGGGUCUGAAAGAUUUCACUUAUAGAAGAAACACUGAUCAUCAUAACCUCAAGGCUAGGGGAGGCAGACCAGAACAUAAUAGAAACAUGCGGAUAAUGUGAAACAUGGAGACAAGGGGAAUCCAAGGGAGAGUGAGAAGCGUUAUUGGAGAACUCACUAUCGUGACAGUGACCAUGACUGUCAUUGUGAUCGUGGCAGAAGGAACUAAGUCGGUGAAGAACAUCUUCUAGAGCCUGGACAAUUUAGCUAGAUCAUGAUAUUUCAACGUGACCUACACAAUUGAAGUUUAAACUUUCAUUGUAGUAUAGUUGUUUCGAUAUUUUUAAUUGCUAUUUUCAAUUGAUAUUGACUGUAUGAAUUGGUUUAGGCAAGGCCAAAGGACAAGAAGAAAGGAAGAGGACCACCUAGGGUUGCAGCACCUCCAGCAGCUCCAAAGAGAGACCCAUUCGACGAUGGCCAGGUCAUUAAAAUCGAGAUUCAUGACCCCUAGUUUUCUGGGAGGAGCUAGUUCUUCAUCAACAAUUUCUAUUCUUAUGUAGCUCUAAUCCUCUACACCUGUUAAAAUCGUU